rnacentral:rRNA from 1 species
GCUGGCGGCGUGCCUAAUACAUGCAAGUCGAGCGGACAGAUGGGAGCUUGCUCCCUGAUGUUAGCGGCGGACGGGUGAGUAACACGUGGGUAACCUGCCUGUAAGACUGGGAUAACUCCGGGAAACCGGGGCUAAUACCGGAUGCUUGUUUGAACCGCAUGGUUCAAACAUAAAAGGUGGCUUCGGCUACCACUUACAGAUGGACCCGCGGCGCAUUAGCUAGUUGGUGAGGUAACGGCUCACCAAGGCAACGAUGCGUAGCCGACCUGAGAGGGUGAUCGGCCACACUGGGACUGAGACACGGCCCAGACUCCUACGGGAGGCAGCAGUAGGGAAUCUUCCGCAAUGGACGAAAGUCUGACGGAGCAACGCCGCGUGAGUGAUGAAGGUUUUCGGAUCGUAAAGCUCUGUUGUUAGGGAAGAACAAGUACCGUUCGAAUAGGGCGGUACCUUGACGGUACCUAACCAGAAAGCCACGGCUAACUACGUGCCAGCAGCCGCGGUAAUACGUAGGUGGCAAGCGUUGUCCGGAAUUAUUGGGCGUAAAGGGCUCGCAGGCGGUUUCUUAAGUCUGAUGUGAAAGCCCCCGGCUCAACCGGGGAGGGUCAUUGGAAACUGGGGAACUUGAGUGCAGAAGAGGAGAGUGGAAUUCCACGUGUAGCGGUGAAAUGCGUAGAGAUGUGGAGGAACAC